rnacentral:rRNA from 1 species
UGAAUACGAGAUGCUACGGCGUCGAAGCAGUCUAUGUCAUACUUCCAAGAAAAGCUUGCACUGUCAUAAACAAAUAAUGCCUGUACCAUAACCGACACAGGUGGGUAGGUAGAGUAUACUAAGGGGCGCGAGAUAACUCUCUCUAAGGAACUCGGCAAAAUGACUCCGUAACUUCGGGAGAAGGAGUGCCUUAUUUAUAAGGUUGCAAUAACAAGAUCCAAGCAACUGUUUACCAAAAACACAGGUCUCCGCUAAGUCGUAAGACGAUGUAUGGGGGCUGACGCCUGCCCAGUGCCAGAAGGUUAAAGAAGUUGGUUAGCAUCCGCGAAGCUGAUAACUGAAGCCCUGGUGAACGGCGGCCGUAACUAUAACGGUCCUAAGGUAGCGAAAUUCCUUGUCGGGUAAGUUCCGACCCGCACGAAAGGCGUAAUGAUUUGGAUACUGUCUCGGAGAGGGGCUCGGUGAAAUAGACUUGUCUGUGAAGAUGCGGACUACCUGCACCAGGACAGAAAGACCCUAUGAAGCUUUACUGUAACCUGAAAUUGAAAUUGGACUUUACUUGCGCAGUAUAGGUGGGAGGCGUUGAGAAUAUUCUUGCGGGAUUAUUGGAGCCAUCAGUGAGAUACCACUCUUGUAAUGUUAGAUUUCUAACUUUGUAUCAUUAUCUGGUCAAAGAACAGUUUCAGGCGGGCAGUUUGACUGGGGCGGUCGCCUCCUAAACGGUAACGGAGGCGCACAAAGGUUUCCUCUGAACGGGUAGAAAUCGUAUCUAGAGUGUAAAGGCAUAAGGAAGCUUGACUGUGAGACCUACAAGUCGAGCAGGGACGAAAGUCGGUCUUAGUGAUCUGACGGUGCUGAGUGGAAAGGCCGUCACUCAACGGAUAAAAGUUACUCUAGGAUAACAGGCUGAUCUCCCCCAAGAGUUCACAUCGACGGGGAGGUUUGGCACCUCGAUGUCGGCUCAUCGCAUCCUGGGGCGGUAGUACGUCCCAAGGGUUGGGCUGUUCGCCCAUGAAAGCGGUACGCGAGCUGGGUUCAGAACGUCGUGAGACAGUUCGGUCCAUAUCCGGUGUAGGCGUUAGAAUAUUGAGAGGAGCCUUCUUUAGUACGAGAGGACCGAGAAGGACAUACCUCUGGUGUACCAGUUAUCGUGCCAACGGUAAACGCUGGGUAGCUAUGUGUGGAGUGGAUAACCGCUGAAAGCAUCUAAGUGGGAAGCCCACCUCAAGAUAAGUAUUCUC